GACGAACGCUGGCGGCGUGCUUAACACAUGCAAGUCGAACGGAAAGGCCCUGCUUUUGUGGGGUGCUCGAGUGGCGAACGGGUGAGUAACACGUGAGUAACCUGCCCUUGACUUUGGGAUAACUUCAGGAAACUGGGGCUAAUACCGGAUAGGAGCUCCUGCUGCAUGGUGGGGGUUGGAAAGUUUCGGCGGUUGGGGAUGGACUCGCGGCUUAUCAGCUUGUUGGUGGGGUAGUGGCUUACCAAGGCUUUGACGGGUAGCCGGCCUGAGAGGGUGAACGGCGACAUUGGGACUGAGAUACGGACCAGACUGCUACGGGAGGCAGCAGUGGGGAAUAUUGCACAAUGGGCGGAAGCCUGAUGCAGCAACGCCGCGUGCGGGAUGACGGCCUUCGGGUUGUAAACCGCUUUCGCCUGUGACGAAGCGUGAGUGACGGUAAUGGGUAAAGAAGCACCGGCUAACUACGUG
rnacentral:rRNA from 1 species